rnacentral:rRNA from 1 species
AGUGAACGCUGGCGGUAGGCCUAACACAUGCAAGUCGAACGGCAGCACAGUAAGAGCUUGCUCUUACGGGUGGCGAGUGGCGGACGGGUGAGGAAUACAUCGGAAUCUACUUUUUCGUGGGGGAUAACGUAGGGAAACUUACGCUAAUACCUCAUACGACCUACGGGUGAAAGCAGGGGAUCUUCGGACCUUGCGCGAUUGAAUGAGCCGAUGUCGGAUUAGCUAGUUGGCGGGGUAAAGGCCCACCAAGGCGACGAUCCGUAGCUGGUCUGAGAGGAUGAUCGGCCACACUGGAACUGAGACACGGUCCAGACUCCUAUGGGAGGCAGCAGUGGGGAAUAUUGGACAAUGGGCGCAAGCCUGAUCCAGCAAUACCGCGUGGGUGAAGAAGGCCUUCGGGUUGUAAAGCCCUUUUGUUGGGAAAGAAAAGAAGCAGGUUAAUACACCGAUGUUCUGACGGUACCCAAAGAAUAAGCACCGGCUAACUUCGUG